AGAGUUUGAUCCUGGCUCAGGACGAACGCUGGCGGCGUGCUUAACACAUGCAAGUCGAACGAGGUAGCAAUACCUAGUGGCGGACGGGUGAGUAACGCGUGGGAAUCUGCCUUUAGAUGGGGGAUAACGAGCCGAAAGGUUCGCUAAUACCGCAUAUGCCGUAAGGUGAAAGGAGUAAUCCGUCUAGAGAUGAGCCCGCGUCCGAUUAGCUAGUUGGUAGGGUAAAGGCCUACCAAGGCGACGAUCGGUAGCUGGUCUGAGAGGAUGAUCAGCCACAAUGGGACUGAGACACGGCCCAUACUCCUACGGGAGGCAGCAGUGGGGAAUUUUACGCAAUGGGGGAAACCCUGACGUAGCGACACCGCGUGAGCGAAGAAGCCCCUUGGGGUGUAAAGCUCUGUCGGCUGGAACGAAAAAAAUGACGGUACCAGCAAAGGAAGCAUCGGCUAACUACGUGCCAGCAGCCGCGGUAAGACGUAGGAUGCAAGCGUUGUCCGGAUUUAUUGGGCGUAAAGAGUUCGUAGGUGGUUUGUCAAGUCUGAUGUUAAAGAUCGGGGCUCAACCCUGGGACUGCAUUGGAUACUGGCAGACUUGAGUAUGGUAGAGGCUAGUGGAAUUCCCAGUGUAGCGGUGAAAUGCGUAGAUAUUGGGAAGAACACCGGUGGCGUAGGCGACUAGCUGGGCCAUAACUGACGCUGAGGAACGAAAGCCAGGGGAGCGAAUGGGAUUAGAUACCCCGGUAGUCCAA
rnacentral:rRNA from 1 species